rnacentral:rRNA from 1 species
GCCAGAGUGCGACGGGUGAGUACACGUAAGCAACCUGCCUUUAAGACGAGAAUAACAAUUGGAAACAGUUGCUAAGGCCGGAUAGGAAAUAAAAAGGCAUCUUUUUAUUUUUAAAAGACCUUUUUCGGAAGGUAUGCUUAAAGAGGGGCUUGCGUCACAUUAGUUAGUUGGUAGGGUAAAGGCCUACCAAGACGAUGAUGUGUAGCUGGACUGAGAGGUUGAACAGCCACAUUGGGACUGAGACACGGCCCAAACUCCUACGGGAGGCAGCAGUAGGGAAUUUUCGGCAAUGGAGGAAACUCUGACCGAGCAACGCCGCGUGAACGACGAAGUACUUCGGUAUGUAAAGUUCUUUUAUUGAAGAAGAAACAAUAGUGGAAAAACUAUCUUGACGUUAUUCAAUGAAUAAGCCCCGGCUAACUAUGAGCCAGCAGCCGCGGUAAUACAUAGGGGGCGAGCGUUAUCCGGGAAUUAUUGGGCGUAAAGGGUGCGUAGGCGGUUUAAUAAGUCUCUAGUUUAAUUUCAACGCUUAACGUUGUCGUGCUAGAGAAACUGUUUAACUAGAGUGAGAUAGAGGUAAGCGGAAUUCCAUGUGUAGCGGUAAAAUGUGUAAAUAUAUGGAGGAACACCAGAGGCGUAGGCGGCUUACUGGGUCUUUACUGACGCUGAUGCACGAAAGCGUGGGGAGCAAACAGGAUUAGAUACCCUGGUAGUCCACGCCGUAAACUAUGAGUACUAAGUGUCGGGGUUAAACUCGGUACUGAAGUUAACACAUUAAGUACUCCGCCUGAGUAGUACGUACGCAAGUAUGAAAUUUAAAGGAAUUGACGGGAUCCCGCACAAGCGGUGGAUCAUGUUGUCUAAUUCGAAGAUACACGAAAAACCUUACCAGGUCUUGACAUACUCUGCAAAGCUAUAGAAAUAUAGUGGAGGUUAUCAGGGAUACAGGUGGUGCAUGGUUGUCGUCAGCUCGUGUCGUGAGAUGUUAGGUUAAGUUCUAAAACGAGCGCAACCCCUGUCGUUAAUUGCCAGCACGUUAUGGUGGGGACUUUAGCGAGAUUGCCAAUGAAAAAUUGGAGGAAGGUGGGGAUUACGUCAAAUCAUCAUGCCCCUUAUGAUCUGGGCUACAAACGUGAUACAAUGGCUAUUACAAAGAGUAGCUGAAACGCGAGUUUUUGGCAAAUCUCAAAAAAAUAGUCUCAGUUCGGAUUGAAGUCUGCAACUCGACUUCAUGAAGUUGGAAUCGCUAGUAAUCGCGAAUCAGCAUGUCGCGGUGAAUACGUUCUCGGGGUUUGUACACACCGCCCGUCAAACCACGAAAGACAGCAGGUC